rnacentral:rRNA from 1 species
CACGUAGGGUGCGAGCGUUGUCCGGAAUUAUUGGGCGUAAAGAGCUCGUAGGCGGUGUGUCGCGUCGGCCGUGAAAACCUGCAGCUUAACUGUGGGCUUGCGGUCGAUACGGGCAUCACUGGAGUUCGGCAGGGGAGACUGGAAUUCCUGGUGUAGCGGUGAAAUGCGUAGAUAUCUGGAGGAACACCGGUGGCGAAGGCGGCAUCCUGGACCGAGAUUGACGCUGAGGCGCGAAAGCUAGGGGAGCAAACGGG